rnacentral:rRNA from 2 species
CCAGACAGCCAGGAUGUUGGCUUAGAAGCAGCCAUCAUUUAAAGAAAGCGUAAUAGCUCACUGGUCGAGUCGGCCUGCGCGGAAGAUGUAACGGGGCUAAACCAUGCACCGAAGCUGCGGCAGCGACGCUGAUGCGUUGUUGGGUAGGGGAGCGUUCUGUAAGCCUGUGAAGGUGUGCUGUGAGGCAUGCUGGAGGUAUCAGAAGUGCGAAUGCUGACAUAAGUAACGAUAAAGCGGGUGAAAAGCCCGCUCGCCGGAAGAC